GCCGCGCUGGGCAGGGCCGGGGCUGGGCCGGGCGCCGCUCCCCUUCGCUCUGCUCCGCCCCGGGCCGGGCGGCGUGGGGUGUCAUAGGCCCCUGUUCGCGGCGGACCCCCACCGCCGUGCCCGGAGCCGCCUUGCCGCUCGCGGGGCGCUGGGGCGGGCGGGGACGCCGCUGCCCGCGGGCGAUAAGGCCGGGAGGCGGCUGCAGCCGGGCGAUAAGGGGGGCGGGGCCGGACCAAGCUGCUGGGGGAGCCGGGGCCACGAGGGGCGGGGCAGCGCAGCGCAGCGGCCGCUUAACGGUCGCCGUGAGGUGCAGCUCGCGGCUGUGCGCGGGGCCGUUAGUGCGCGGUGUGCACUGAAGUUUAGGUGCGUGAGGGGGAUGUGGGGCCGGGCGGCCGGAGGGCUCCGGGGAGGUGCUGCCGCUGGAAGCGGGAGCAGGUUUUCACGUGGGGAUAACUUUGAGGAGCAGAAGGGCUGGAAUAAAGUCCCCAAGUAGAAAGUGUUUCGAAAGCAAUGGGUGGCAAAGAAGGUAAUAGACUGCUCCUGUUUUGACUUAUCAAGUGGUGCAAAGUGGUCAUGAGCUGUACCUGAGCCCUGGGUGGGCUACAUGAAGUGGGUCUGUCUCAUGGGAGGGACCACGCAGGGCUCUUCUGCCUGGAAAGAGGCAAAACACAUCUUUAUCUGAGGCGUGGGGACACACCACAAGAGAAAGACCGAGCACUUUGUUCUGGCUUCACCAUCUGGUUCUCUGUUGCAGCCUUCCUGUGGUACUGUGCAGCCUGCAGUUGUGAUGGGAGCUUCUUCACACUAUGCAGGACAUGUGGAAGCCUGUUGCUGUCCACUGUGUUCCUGGAACAACAGUUGUGCACUUUUCCAUAAGAGUUGGGCUAUGUCUUGCUGUGGGCAGGAUUGCUGGCUGUGUUUUCUCCUCACCCUGUAAUAUCAACCCAUUUUGAAAGCUCUAAUAUAAAAGUGUUCUGUAAUGUAAGCAUAGAGUAAAAGAAACGUGUACAAAGUAACAGGUCAGCUGCUGAGGCACCUUCUGAAGGGCAUCCUGAAAUGCUGACAUUUAGCACUCCAAACAAAGGGCUGUUGUUUAGCAUCAGUGUGGGGAAUGAGGGAAAUACAUCCUAGUUCUGGUUGCCAUGGGAUUUGAUGUAUCCUGAGCAUUGGCUAUAACCUCUUUGGAGUCUGGCAGAGGAUUUCAGAGAGAAAUGACACUUUUCCUGUAAUGCUGUGUGGACACAUGUUCACGUGAGAGCAUUUCUGAGGGGAAAAUAUGUGAACACAGUAUCUCUGUUGAACUCAACAUUGCCCAAAUUGCUGGAAGGUUGAUUUCCUUUCAGGAAAAUUAAGCUAAAUGCAUGUCUUUGCUUCUGCCUUCCAAACAGAUCACCAGCAUUGCUUCAUGCAAUCUACAUUGACUUCUGUAAUACUUAAACACGUGCUUCUUCACUGAAUAAGGAUUUUCUCUUGAAUGAGGACCUUGAGCAGUGCUGAUUUAUCACUUCAGUAAGGCUUUUGGUGUUUUUAUGGUUGUCUUUGCCUUUUACCUGUGAGCAAGUGGAGAUUGGUAGAAGUUGACUCAUUACAUCUAAAGAGAUAGCAAAGCCUGUGGCAGGAAUCACUCUACAGCCCCCAAGUAGAUGCAUUUUGUAAGAAAAGUUCAUGCCAUUCUGUGUCCUUGGUCUCUUCUUACCCAGUGGUCCGCAAUUCCUCUACAGACACAGGACUGGAAGUGUCCCAGUCAUGUGAUGGCAGUGCACAGACAUAUUGAGGGACAUCAUCUGCAGUCUGAGUGGCAGGUGUAUUUUCAUUAACAGCACUGGGAAAAGGACAGGGUGCAAAGGCUUUAAAUGCUUCUAUUAGAGCUGUAUUGGCUCCCGUGCCUGAAACUAAGCGCAGCUGUACAUAAAACUGUGGAUGCUGGUUUUGAUUUUGAGCUCUGGCACUAAUUCACAGUUAGUAAUUCACAUUGCUUUCUACACCUCAGGUUUUCUAUCUGUAAGAGGGAAAUGCCAGUAACCCCAACUUGCAGCUAGAGGUAUUGUAAAGAUUAGUUGGCAUUUUUGGCAUGUUAAGAAUUAGUCUUUCCCCAAAAUGAAAAUAAUGUGUUAUAGUAGAAGUGAAAUACUAUCCUUGUGUCUUUAAUGCCUUAAAAUACAUUCUCAAAUCUUGGUUGGAGGAAAUGUAGCUGAUAAUCAUCAUCAGGCCUCAAAAUAAGGAUUGUCAGGGGAUUUUUGCUUUGGUUUAUAUUAAUUAUUAGGCAGUGUCCCUCCCUGCUGGCCGUCACUUUAAAUGAUUUGUCAGCAGCAGCAGCAAGGGAAUUGAAGGUAAUAACAUGGCACUACACUUUGUUUAGCUGAGAAAGACUAGAGCACAGCCAUGGCAAGAGAGCCCGUCCCUGCGGUGGGGCCGGAACAUAACUGCGGUGACAGUAGAGGACAGGGACUUUGCUGCCUCUCUGCACAGCAGGUGUUUCCUUCUCUGCCAGUGUUGUUACCCAUGGCACAGGCUGUGUAAUGGGCAUUCAACACUGCCUCUAAUUUCCCCUGGCAUAUUACUGUGGCUAGGAUGAUGAGUGACCUGAAGACCAUUUCAUUUUUGUUUAAUAACAAUGUAAACCUUUCAUUUACCUAUGCUCUUUAGAGGAAGCCUGUGCAGGCACUCUGUGUGAAUCACACCUGAGAUUGGUUUAAAUGGGUAAAGCUUUGUUAAGACAAGGUUGAGAUUUGUUGUUUGUGAAACAAGAAAUAACAUUGAUAAAGAAUUGAAAUCGAGUCAGCACUUCCUUGAAUAAAGUCAUUAAAUAAGAUAUAAAAUACUUGAUAAAAGUGUUGAAGUGGUGUAGAGAGCACUUGAAAAACAAAUUCUUCUGGGUGAAUUGGGAGUUUUGUGUUUAUUGGAGGGGAUACAAAAUUUGUUUCUGUAAACACGGGUAGUGAGUGAUAGUGUUGAUUUCCUGUUUCAUAAUGUCUUUCACUCUUUUUUUUUUUUUUUUUUUUCCUAAUUUCUGGCAAUCAUUUGUUAUUGUGAUGUCAUUUUAUUAUUUAAAAAAAAAUCUUCGACAACACCAGACUGUUUUUCAGGCCGUGUCUUUAUGAACUCACACAGGAACCAUUAAAACACUUAACAGAUAUUUCUAGCUAUUGGCAGCAAUUUUAGGCCACUAUUUCCAUAGUUUAGUUAAUGUACAUUUUCUUAGUGUGAAUUAGAACCCCUCGUAUGACACUAGAUGCUGGUUAGAGCAUGAGCAAGGGUUGUGCUGUCUUUAUCCAUCUUGGCCUAACUCUCUGUGAUCUAAGCUUCUCUGUGCCACUAACUUCCUUUUUUGUAACUGUUUUGGAGUUGUUCCCUUUUCUGUAUUCCUGCAAGAGCUCAGUGAAAAGCCUCAUGUGACAAAUCAGCAGCUUUCUGAAUCUAUUUUCCAGAGUUUAUUUAGCUCCAAAGCUUUUAUUAAAAACUCUUGGAUUUCCUUCAGUGUUUUUUUUACUUCUUAGUUCUAUUUAAUUCUCUGUGUGUGUUUGGAAUGCUUCUUUCAAAGGCACCUGCAGUUUGUCUAAACUGGUUUCAGAACUUUGCCCAGAGUCACCCAGAGCCUCUGUAUCACACAGGAUAGCUUGCAACGUGCUUUGUGAGGGCUGUGUUCCUAUGUAUCACAGAUUGCUUUGCACCUGUAGGGAAUGUGUAGGAAAUUUCCUGCAGAUCCAUGUAUUUUCACCCAGGCUUGACUCUAGUGGUGGCAGUUAGGAGAGGAGGUGAGGAGCUGAAGGGCAGGAGGCGAGGUUUGCAGCUGCCUGGCUGUGCCCGGGCCCUGCAGUGUCUACCUGAGUCCCAUGGCUGGGGGAGUGGGCUGGGAGGAUGUCAUGGUGGAGUCCAGGAUGGCCUUGGCCUGACAGGUUAGUGGAACUACUGUGCCUGGUGAAGGGGUGGGGAGGAACUCUGCAUAGCUUUCUUGUUGCAAAUUCUCUAUGCAAAUUCAUGUGAGGUACGAUGUUAAUUUGGAUUCACAAUACUUAUGUUUUAUGAACAUAUUUACAUUAACUUUUUUUUUGGCGUGGAAUAAGUGAGGGAGCAGAAUUUGUUAAGUCUAGGAGCAGAGAAACCUGAAAGGGUACAGUCUUUAGAUAUGUAAAAGGCAUGUUUUGUGCUUCUAGAGUACACAGGACAGGAAGUAAUACACACUUAAAAUAUAAUGAGAUUCAGUUACACAUUAGAAAAAAACUUUCUGUAAGGACAGUGAAAGACUGGAAGAAGCACCCUCAGCAAAAUAUGGAGUCCCUAUCAUUGAAGUUUCAGGCACUGUUCAUCAGUCAGUCGGGAGUUAGAGCCGAUCCUGCUUUUGAGAGGAGGGGGAAGGACCUGUAUGACCUGUUAAUCUCCUGUUCUCUGCGUGAAAAUCAAUGGCCUAAUAUAUUGACCACCGAAGGUGGGGAGAGACUUGCUGAUCUGAAGGGCUGUCUUGAAGUGAAGUAAGCCCAACUCAGUUCCAUGAAUGAACUUUCUCACACAAACAGCCUGUUGGAUUCAAGUUACUGCACUUAUAUGAGAGAAACGUGUAUGUCAGGGUGGAACAUCAGAACAGAGCGGCUUAAUGAAAGUUUUCUUUUUUACACAUUACGUGAAUCAUCUUUUAAAAGUGUUUUUUGUGUGUGUGUUUUAAGAUGCUUUGAGUUAAAGAUAGAGGGUUGAAAAUGUUUUAAGUGGUGUUUUUUGUUUGUGUGGUGUUUCCUUUAUCUGUGUUUAGCUUCCUCCUGCUCACAACUGUACCGCCUUUAGUCUGAUCAUAUGAAUGUAUGUGCAAUGAAGUCCUCUACUGUGAAGAAAACCAUUAUGAGAUCAGUAUAUGCUUGGGCAGUAUGCAUAUAAUAUAUUGCAACAGAUCUUUGCUCAGAGCAGGAAUUCUACCUUUGCCCCUAAUUCUGCUCUUGCCUCAGUUCUAAUCAGGGCUAUCUCGGAAGAUAACAGCAAAUCUUCUGUUAUUUGAUUGCAAAGCUGAUGUAACCUUUAGUCUAUCUGGGAGACUGAUUGGUGUAGCAGUGCCAGAAUAGCCCUAUUCUAUGGUCAGCUAAGAACGCCUUCAUCAGAGACUGAUAUAGUGACUCCACACAUUUUCCUAUUCAGGUGCAGUCAUACUUGUUACGUUUCCCAUGUAGGUCAGAUCAGAGAGAGGAGAUUGAUAACUUGAUUGAUCUUAAAUGUCAGCAAGUACUUGUGAAACUUUUACAUUUAUCUUCCUUUAUCAUUGGCCUGUUGAGUUAUCACUCAGCCAACUGACCUUACCUUGUCACAUCACCCAGGACAUUUUGUUAUGGCAUUCCCUGUUCUGUCUGUCACACAGUAGAUACACCAGCCACGCAUCAUCCAACAUGUGGAGCAUUUGCAGCUGCCUGGGACUCAAAAAGGCUGAAAGGUUAGGACUUGCUGGAGUGAGGAGAGGUCUGUAGAUAGUCUCUGUUCUUAAUAAUACCUCUGCUUGAUGAAAGGGACUCAGAGAGGGCUUGGGUGUGGAGUUAUAGAGCCAAGAAAGGGAACAAACAGCCCAUCGUCUUGCGUGCUCUGUGCCACCCCAGCUUAGGGGCAGGGCGUGAGACCAAAAGCUAGAGUUCUGGGUUGUGUGCAGAACUGGCAUCUGAAGGUUUAUUCAUCUGAAUAGGGAACAGAAAAGCAUCAUGAUACUUGGGUGACAAGUGAAAGAACUGUAAUUGGAAAUGCUUUCUGAAAUUCAGCUAUUUCUUUCAGAGAAGGACCGUAGCCUGAUACAGUUUCACAUCAAACCUUGGUGAAAAGAAGUUGCACAGCCUACAGGCAUAAAGUAUUGUACCUAACUGAGGUGGAGAGGAAACAGGCUUCUAUCCCAUAAAACCUUUUUCCUGUUCUGCAUUGAUAAAGAACAGACACCUCUGAAAGAUUUAACUGGAACCAGAGUAAUGAGUAUACCAACACACUGGUAUUUAUUUAGAUUUUUGGAAGAACUACUUUCAAAUCCCAACAAUGCUUUGUGUGGAAUAGAAGUUGAAGCGUGCAUUUCUUGCAUCCAGACAGGUAUCUGAUUGAAAGUGGUUGAUGCCACACAGUGCCAUCUAUUCAUACAGAGGAGAGAAUUUGUUACCUCAGAUUUUGGACAUAAGGUUGGGUUUGCAUGGAAUUACAUUGUUGUACAAAGAGCUGAUUUUUUUCUUUUUAGCUGGCUGUGGACUAAAAAAAUAAGUUUUCUAAGAGAAUAUCAUGUAAGGAAUAUAGUGCAGGGCUCAAGGUGCACACUCUAGGAGUGUAAUGGACUCUGCAGAGGCUUGAGAGAUGUUGCUUUCCACCCAGGUUGUUAACUUUACUAAUGUUGUGUUGGAAAUUAAUUGGACAGUCAAUAAGUCUGUACCUGUAAGCAGGAUUAUAUUUUUCACUCUUUCCACCUGGAGGUGGUGCUGAAUCAAAGCCUUAGCUCCAAAACACCCUGACCUGUGAGUAUUUGAAAGCUAGAUUUUUUUUUUUUUAACUUCAAGCUUGGGAAGAGGCUGUGUUUGUGAAAGCUUUGUGCCAUAUUUGAUAAUUUCGCUGUUUCUCUGUAGAGUGAUUGCUUGGCAUUUUUUCAGGUAAAAAAUGUUACAGGCGGUGUAGGCAUGAGAACAAAAUGGGAGGAGUGACAUCUGCUGGACAAUAACGAGAAUGCACAUAACUAAUUUUUUUCCCCUCAAGACCAUGAAAAGUAAAUAAAUUCCUAGUAAAUGGCCUGGGAUCACUUAGAAUUUAUAAAACUUGAAAUUUAGAGAUAAUUUGUUAUCACCGCAUCUGCUUCUGUCUGCCAUCAGCCUCUGAUAAGCAGUAACUUUCUCGCAUGAUGACUGAUGCCAAGACCUGGUUACUCUUAACACAGUCUAAUGUCUUGUUUGUUUGUUUUUAGGAAUAUUUUUACAUGUCUAUCCCUUUCCCACAACCAGAAUGACCUUAGGAUCAUACAGGGUUUUUUUGUUUCGUUUGGUUUUGUUUUUUUUUUUUUUUUUAGGAUGUUGGCAGGAGGUAAUCUUGUGAAUAGCUUAGUGUCGAGGCUUAAGAUUGUGGGGUGACAAUAAAACCCUGGCAGAUGUAUUGUUAAACCCCUUUCCCCCCCCCACUUCCUCCUUUUUGCCCCUUCCUCUCCCCCCUUCCCACUCAGGACAGGCGAUCGGGAGGGAAAGGAGGACAGAGAGAAGAGAGUUGGAAAAAUUAACAAUGUUUUACUAAUGCUACUAAUAAGAAUAGAGAAAAUAAUACAAAAUAUACAAAACCAAUCUUGAAAGUCUCAGCAACUGCAGAGCCGGCACCCAAAGUCCUGGAUUGGACUCUGCAGCCAACCGGAGCUGGAUUCAGUCUCUCAUUAGGCCUCAGUUCGCGUGGACGACUAGCAAGGUCCUCUCCUAGUGUCGGCCAUAAGCAGAAGGGAAAAAGCAAAGGCAAAAGGGACGAGAUCCUCAUGAUCUCCCACUUUUAUAUGAAGUAUUCACGUGAAUGGAAUGUUAUACACAGUUGGUCAGUUUCUUGGUCACCGGUCCAUGCUUACCAAUAAGUUUGCAUUCCAUUGCUAUGUUUACCAAAACAUGUGUCUGGUUCUCCAGGAAAAUGCAGUUAAUAUGAAGGCUUUAGCUGACAGGCAAAAUUCACUGAAAGUGAAACUUGUUUUUAACAAAACCAAGACACUUAGUUGUGGAGAAAAAUUAUUUGGAAAGAAACUAAGUUCAGAAAAUAUCAGGUGUUUUCUUAUACUGAGAACCUAACUUUCUCGUUUAUUAUUCUUGGUGUUAGAAGAGCUGACACUGUUCACUUCCACUGGGAAGGAUUUGAGUCUUGGACUGGACUUUCAUCGUUCAGCCCAUGUCUCUACAAGCUCAGGCAACCUUGUUGAAUGGAUUCUGCCUAAGGGUACAGAAUGGACUACGCCUGUAUGAUCCAGGUGGAGGAGAUCGGUAGUUUUAAUAGGUUAUUUUCUCCUGUAAUUUCCAAAGGCUUGUUUUCUAGGCCAGUGGACCAGUGUAACUGAUGUUGCUACCACAUACUUACAGACAAAUUCCAGUUGUCCAGUUCCCAUUGAAGUAGGAGCCAGAUAAAAAUCUCUGUUGCUCCUGGACAGUGCUUGGCUUCUUGUUUUAUACAACACUAUGAUUUCAGGUUAAAUUUGGAACACUGAGAAAUGAGCUAGUGUAUGAACAUAUUUUUUAGAUGUCAGUGAUUAAAAAUGUUGUGCCUUCCUACUCACUUGGCAGGCUUUGGGGAGAAUGCAAACAGACACUUCUUCAGACUUGAGAAAGGAGGGGACUCCAAUGAAAUUAGAUCAGUCUCUCUCUUACUUGGCUUCCUAGGAAGUCACAAGUGUAUUUAGAAAUCCUCCUGUCCAUCCAUUAUAGUAUGAAAUUGGGUAAGUUAGUUGGGUUGAGUUUAGACUCAUGACCACUGCAGUUAGCCCAGUAAUUAAAGUUAUAUAGCAAAUCAUAUGCUCCAGAAGGCUUUUGGUAGGUAAUAUAUAAAAACACAUAUGCAGCUAUGGAAAAUUCUGGUAAAAGAGGUGGCAUUUAAUACCUAGGAGGAGCAGUGGCUGUGUCAACCUGUCAGGUCUCAUGAGUCUCUGAUUUGGCCUUGGAUCCAUCUGGAUGAGCCUGCCCAGCUUUGUUUCUUUUCUAUUCUUUAGGGGUGCAGAAGUGGAGAGAGGAAGAUGAAGGGAUGUGUGGCACGUGUGCUGUGUUAGUAACAUAUCCGUCACAGCUGCAGGAUCUGAAAGGAGAAGGAAGGAAACAGGUGAAAUCUGUUGUGCUCAGAGGAAGUCAGCAUGUGUUUGAAUGCUAGCAAAUUACAGGUUUUUCCCUUAAAACUCUGUGCUCUCAUACUGUGAGAAAGGGACAGAGUUGUCAUUGUUAGAUACCUCCUUUAUGAAGUUAUGAGGUGAGCUUGUUUGGGUGCAAGUUUUGUGGAGAAGUCUGUACUACAACAGGGACGAAGGCCAGUGCCAUUGCUGAGUUCCUCUUGAGUGAGGAGUGUUAUGCUACAUGCUACAUGCAGGGGAGAACAGCAAGGAAAUUUUUCCAAAACUUCAGUAGUUAUAGCUACUGGGAUCUGACAGGAACCUUUCUGAAUUUAGUUUCAGUGCUCUAACAGGUAGCAGAACUUCUUCAAAAUGUAUGCCUAUUGUAUUAAAACUUCUGCACAUAUUUUUCAAGUACGGUAUGUGAUAUGACAGCAAUUGCAGGUAAAGCUACACCAGCUGCUUUUCCUGCAAUGAGUCAGGCCUUUUAGGUUUAUAGUGUCAGUAGCCUUUCUCCAGCCAUGACUUCAUCCAUAAAAGUGUAAGAAAUGCCUUAUUGUGUCAGACCUGUGGCCCAUCUAGAUUAGUAUUUUUGCCUUGAAUGGUAACAGCAGGUUAUAUUAUAUGGAGCUUGGACAUGUUCUUGACCAUUUCAUGUUGUGCAUUCCCCGCAUUCUUUCUCAGCAUCCACAGUCAUUGGAUUAGGACUGUUAUGAGGUACACUUGUGCCCAUUCUUUUACCUGUUUUGGAACCGCUGUGCAUAAAUCAGUCUUCUUUGUAUAGCCUGCUCUUUUGUCUAGCCCACCGAUAUUAGUUUCCUCAGUCCCACAUGACCAGAAAUUUAGCAUUUGCUGUGUUUGUAAAGGAAAGUUAAUGCUUAUGUCUGUUUUAAACCUUUCUUGCAUAGUUUAAGUUAGUGCUCAUACUUCUAAUAUUGCAAGGUUUAGUGAGUAACAGUCUUGCUCUCAUUUUCUCUACUGCCUUCAUGAUUUUGUAGUUCUCAGUUGUAUCCCCCUCAGCCUGCAUGUCUCCAAAUUAAGGAGAGGAAUCUCUCCUCAUAAUGCAGCUGCUCCCUCUCCUAAAUUCCUGUUGUACAAUUCAUAUGCUUGCAAGAAACACAAGUGCUUAAAUGUGGAUGCAUGCCAGUCUCUCAGUAGCUUCAUUUUCCAGCUGUCUGUCACAAGGCAGAAUUGGCUGCUCAAUUAAAGCAGCCAGAGUGAUCACAGCAUAACUUUUUUUUUUGAGCACCUUCUAUUUGACCUUUUUAAAAGCUGCAGUAAGCAGAUUCCAAGGCCACUUGUGGGUUGAACUGCAGCAGCUUUCUGUGUUUGUGGAUGGAGAUGUGCCAAUUCACAACCAUCCCUAUGGAUGUCUAUUGUUUUCUUGGCCUGAAACCAGCUGUUACAAAGGGCCAGAUCCUCACUAGUUGCAUGUAGAGUUUCUGGUCAUAUGGAUUACAGUGCUGGCCAACCACUCAUUUGUACUUUUUGUGGUGAUUCUUGCCUGUGUCAGUGCUGAAUGUGUAGAGUUGGUUUUUACAUCUUGGUAGUUAUAACCCUUGCUGUAUAUGACAGCAUAUCCACGGUGAGAAUGUGGCCUGCUGCAGGGCAGAUACAGGCAGCAGUCACACUUGGAAGCACUGGACUGAUUUUGGCUAGGACACUGAUACUGUCCAUCUUGACAAGUACAUCUCUGGAGGAAAUUGGUGCUGCUGGCAGCAUCUGUCAGUUCACUGGUCUCUGAAAAGUAUGGAGGUUACCUUCAGGUGAUGUGGUUAUGAUAAAACUGCUUCUUCUAUGUUACUAUUCUUGACUUCUGACAGUUUAUUUUAGAUUAAGGUGUCCUGGUUUAUUGAAAAUAAUUGAGAUAUUGCUUUAAAUUUUAAAUGGAGGAGUUAAUUCUUUCACAGAUGACUGAGUAGAUCUUAGGGCCCAUGUUGAGCAAAGAUCCUUUUCUCAGUUUUAAGUCCUGUAGGUGAUUUGACUAUAUAGUGAAGGGAAAGCUGAAAUGUUUAAUUUUAUUAUAUUGGUAAGAAUUAAAGGGUAUAAAAGAAAAGAUCACCAAGAGUAGCACUUAGGCUAAUUAAACAUGUAUGACUGUGUAGUCUGGUAAGCAGAAGACUACAAACAGAAAAUUAGCUAUAUUUUUUUCUCUUUUAUGAAAGUAAAGAUGUAAAAAAUAGAAUGAGAACAAGUGUUGCUUUCAGAUAUUAACAAAAAUCACUGAAUGUGUCUACCUGCUCUCAUCUUAUUGUUGAUUUCACCAUAUUCAUGUGGGAAUAGUGUGAGCUACAACAGUUUUAUGUUGCAGUGACCCUAAUUGUGUAGGGCAUGAGGCACUUUUUCUCUUACAGGUUAUAUACACACAGUGCUAUGAAACCUGCAGCACCCUUUCUGGAUACAUUCUGUGUUGGAGUGUCUUCCUGUCUCUUAAUAAUACUCCUGAGAGUUGCUUUUCAAUGCCUCUAGCUGCUGUAUUUUCACUGCCAAGAAUGUAACCUCGUUCAUCCUUUGCACCAAAUGGUGUCCUGGAAACUUCAUAGUUCAGACUAAGCAAUGAUUACAUACCAGAAUAAACUCUCAGAAACAACUAGUGAAGAUCAAACACAGACACAGUAGGUUCACACCUGAUCUCUCAUCUCUGAUUCUCAAAAUACUUUCUACAAAUAAUCUUAGGAACUAAAGUUGCUAUCAUAAACCAUGGACUCAGCAGAGAUACAGUUUUUAUAGUGAGCUAUAAUCUUACUUCCCACAAACUCUCACUGUUUGACACUGGCAAUUAUCUACUUUUCCUUAACAGAAAUGUGCAACAUUCCUCCUUCACAGGUACCAACUGCUUUUUCUCUUGGAAGCUUUACCAAUGUCUAUUUAAGUACACUCAGACUUCUUUUUCUCAGUAGGUACUUGGCUGUAUUCAGAAAGGAUUCCUGUUCUUGAAGUCUUGCAGGCUUUCUUUUUAUUUCUUUUUUUUUUUUUUUUUAAUUUUAUUUUAUUUUAUUUUUUUUAUUUUUUUUAGCUGUCAUAUUUGGUCUAAUAAAAACUACUACACUGGCCUACACACUCAUUUCAGAGUAAUUUGUAAUGUUAAUGCUGAAAGGAAAAAAAGUUACUCAAGGCAACUGCUCCCUCUGCUGUGGAAUCCUCCUGCCAGAAGCACUGCACUCGCAGAAUUCAUUCAGCUUUGUUUUUCCUGUGACAGGGUUAUGUUGUUGGGCAUUGAUUCCUUGUGCAUAGGAGAAAUUUUGAGAAUUCUUAGGCUUUUGACAACAAAACACUAAUUUCUUAGUCACACUGCUGAAAAAGAAUCACAUUUUUAUAAUUAUAAAUAUUAGGAUAAAAAUUAAAAAUUUGUGACAGUAAAAUAACUGUAAAAUAUUUCAAAUUCAAUGACUUGUCAUAUUUUACAAAUAUUUUAAGUAGUCUUUCUAGGAUUAUGGUUUUAUCAAGUGACACUACACAAGGAAAUUUUUGAUUUAAAUGAAAAUAGAAAAAUAGAAUAAUCCAUUGCUUUCAACAGUUUUUAAUGUACAGAAAAAUAACUCACUGCUCUUUAAGCACCUUCCAUGUAACGUAGAUAGUGUUACUAAAAUUCCUCACUGGCACCUAUGUGGCAUAGACAAAGCUAAUAGAGCUAAUAGACUAAAAAUUCCUUGUUUGUGUUGUGGUUUUUGUUUGUUUGUUUUUGUUGUUGUUUUUUUAGCCUUUACUCUUUCUAUUUUGUUAUCUUCCUUCUGCAAAAACUUGUUUUUUAAAGGAUAGACAAGUGUGUGGCUAUUGUUAAUGAGAUUUCUGUGGCAGACAAGGUAUUUCAAAAGGGAAACAAUAAUUGCCUCAUCUCUUGAAGCCUUUUUUCCAGGCAGGUGCCCCAGGAAGAACACUGUGAACUCUGAGUUCCUGGUCCUGCUGGUUUUGAACUGUGUUGUCUGAUGGGAGUACAGCUUAAAAACGCUUCAAAGAUGGACAUUCGGUCUUUGCUCGAGUUGAGACUUGAUCCACAAAUUAUUGUAGAGAUAAAGGCAGUGGCCUUAAAGAUUGACUGUAUCUACUUUAGUGCUUUGUUUCUGAGCAGUAGUGUGCUUUUAAAGCAGAUCUGGUUGCCCCCGUUUACUGCAUGUGAUUCCAAUGUGUGUGAACCAUACAGGAAAUUCUUUGGAAAAAAUUGAACCAAAAGCCGUGGUUCUGGGUAUGUACCAGGUGUAUCCAGCUCACAAGGAGACACAAAAGUCUGAAGCAAAGAUUGGUUCUCACUACUGCAGAGCCCUCCAGUGUGUCCUGAACAAUCCUGUACCAUUAGAAGGAUAUAGAACUAUGGAGAACAGUUGCAACAUAGAAUCAUAGAAUAGUUUGGGUUGGAAGGGACCUUUAAAGGUCAUCUAGUUCAAGCCCUCUGUAAUGACCAGGGUCAUCUUCAACUAGAUCAGGUUGAUCAGAGCACUGUCCCACCUGACCUUGACUCUUUCCAGGGAUGGGGCAUCUACCACCCCCCUAGGCAACCUGUUCCAGUGUUUCACCACCCUCAUUGUAAAAAGUUUCUUCCUUAUAUUUGAUGUGAAUCUGCCCUCUUUUAGUUUAAAACUAUUAUCCCUUGUCCUGUCACUAAAGGCCCUACUAAAAAUUAUGUCCCCAUCUUUCUUAUAAGCCCCUUUCAAAUAUAGAAAGCCCACAAUAAGGUCUCCCUAGAGCCUUCUCUUCUCCAGGCUGAACAACUCCCGACUGUCUCAGCCUGUCCUCAUAGGAGAUAUGUUCCAUUCUUGAUCAGUUUUGUGGCCCUCCUUUGGAACCUCUCCAAUAGGUCCAUGUCUCUUCUGUACUGAGGACUCCAGAGAUGGAUACAGGACUCCAGGUGGGGCCUCACCAGAGCAGAAUAGGGGGGCAGAAUCACCUCCCUCAACCUGCUGUUCAUGUUCUUUCUUUAUGCAGCCCAGGAUACAGUUGGCUUUCUGGGCUGCAAGUGCACAUUGCUGGCUCAUGUCCAGCUUUUUAUUGACCAGUACCCUCAAGUCCUUCUCCUUCUUGUCUCCUCUCAAUGCCUUCAUCUUCCAGCCUGUAUUGAUACCAGGGCUUGCCCCAACCCAGGUGCAGGACCUUGCACUUGGCCUUCUUGAACCUCAUGAGGUUCUUAUGAGCGCACUUCUCAAGCUUGUCCAGGUCCCUGGCCUCUGGAUGGCACCCUGUUCCUCAGGUGUGUCAACUGCACCACUCAGCUUGGUGUCAUCUGCAAACUUGCUGAGGUUGCACUCAAUCCCACUGUCUAUGUAACUGAUGAAGAUAUGAAACAGUACUGGUCCCAAUAUGGACCUGUGAGGGACACCACUUGUCACUGAUCUCCAUCUGGACAUUAAGCCAUUGACCACUACCUUCUGGAUGCGACCAUCCAACCAAUUCCUUGAUCACUGAACAGUCCAUCCAUGAAAACCACACCUCACCAAUUUAGAGAGAAGGAUUUGUGGGAGUCCAUGUCAAAGGCUUUACAGAAGUCCAGAUAGAUGACAUUUGUAGUUCUUCCCUUGUCCACUGAUGUAGUCACUCCAUCAUAGAAGGCCGUUAGGUUGAUCAGGCAGGACUUGCCCUUUGUGGAGCCAUGCUGGCUGUUUGAAUCACCUCCCUGUCCACCAUGUGCCUUAGCAUAGCUUCUAGGAUGAUCCUCCCAGGCACAGAGGUCAGAAGUGCUUCUUCACAUGCACUUUCUUGUUUGCCAUUAGCUGCUGUCCCUUACCUCUCUGUCUUUGCUGCUGCUUUCCCCAUCCUCCUCCUGGCUUGAAAUGUGUUAUUUUCUUUAGCUGUCCUGUUUCUGUUGCAAUCUACCCUUGCUGAACCCCUCCUGUCUUGUGGCAACCUCUCUUAUUUAAGUAUUUGUCCUUUCUGCUAUAGUCUUUUGCUGUUGUGAUAAACUCCUUCAGGCUCUCUGAGGAUGCAGUGAGAUAUAACCUGAGACUCUGAAGAAACAGUACUUGUCAUUGACCUGUGUAAUGAGAAGUCUGAAAGUUUCUCUGGCAAAAAGAUGACCCUGUAGCAAAAUCAGGAUUUCUAUGUCUCAGGUAAGUAGACCAAAAUAUAGUGUUAUAUUGUAUUCAAGACAAGGACUCAGUUCUUGAAAAACUGGGAGAGCAAUCAUUUUUCAUGUGCAGUAUGCCCUGUUUCAGACAUUUGAAGAGAUCUUUAUGUCAGGAUACACCACAAACCCUGCCACUGACUUUGGGUCUUGGGUUCACCUGGGGUGGAUUGUGGAGGAUGGCAUGUUCACCAGUGGACUCUGGAGUGUUUGUUCCAGCAGCUUUCAAGAUCUCCCUGAUGGGCAAACUCAGGCUUACCUCCUGGGCUUGCUGCCCACUGUGAUCUGAUGGGACACACAGUUCAGACAUUGUUCGUCACAAAAAAUGAGGACAGACGGAUAUGUAUUGCUUCUCCAGUGACCCUGCAGAGUGCUCAGAGAAUUACAUUGUAUCCACAGACACGUGUGGCUGGCUGGCGUGCUUUUCCCUCCCUUUUCAGUGUCCUCUGAUGGAGAGAGCAAGAGUAUGAUGGCCAGCGACUUCUCCUUGUCAAAUAGAGGUGUUCUGUGGACCACUGCUUAGUGGGGAGGAGAUGCCACUUCAGGUAUGGUUCAAACUUCUCCUCAGCUAUCUCCCUAGUCACUGCUCCAAAGCUCUGCCUGAGCUGCUGCAGGUUCGGAACACUAAAUGCUCUGCAUAGCCAUUCUGCAGAGGGCCAUCUUAUGGCCCUCCCGAAGUCGAGGUGCCAUCCAUCAGGGGAGGAGACCAUGCAACCAGUCUCUGAAAACAUUAUCCAGUACCAGCUACAAUUGCACAAAGUCCCCAGGUUCAUACUUUUUACUGAGUCUUUGGGACAUCUUUGGGCUCACUGUGUUCUUGUGGAUGGCCUUCCAGUUUCUGCUGCAGGCUGGGAACUCUUCACAGGUGUGAGCACAGCACACUUGUCUUUGUGCUCUACUUGUGAUCAUACUGGGAUCUGGAAUGGAAGAAGAUAUUGCAGCUGUUGUUUAACCUGUUUAAAAUAUAUGAAUGCCUGUCUUUGCAACUAAUGACUUUGAAGUGGUAGUAUAUGUUGUAUUAUCUCACCAGAAUAUCUUCUUCCACAAGGCAUAGCUGGUUACUUUGAAAAUUAGACCAGGCUCCUCUCACAUGCAUGGGAUGUAGCGCUAUUUUUACACUUUUCCCUAGAUAUGUGCCGUUGGGCUCUCUUUAUAGCAGUGUAGACUUCAAGAUUGUUUUAAUAUCUCUAUUCAUGCUAGCUGUUCCAGAGUUGAGUCUGUUCUGGCACCACACGUUCAGUGACUCUUAGGCAGUGUCAGCAACAAGCUGCCAGGCUAGACUGACCUUUGGUCUGACAUGGUGUGGUUCUUGUAUCUUCCAUCUCUGCUGUCUUUGUUGGGUGAAUUUUGCAGAAUAUGUUGUAGGUCAGUGUAUUUCUUCUGGUUUAGCCAAAGAAGGGUAAUGUUUCAUUUGAAGACCCAUUUCAAAGAACCUUUUCAUUGUAGUCACCAGACAUCUGACUUUUUUACUUCCACUGACAUGGAGGUAGCCUUUUGAUCUGUUUUUUCCAAGCAUGAAAGGUCUACCCAGAGGGUAGAUCAUAUCUGUGACAACAACUAAAUAUCCACUGUCUGUUUUUAUUCACCACCCCAAUUGCAUUGCUGGAACUUUUAAAUUCUAUGGACUGAAAGAGAAACAAAUACUGAAUUGAGUCCAUUGAUAAUAAAAAAUGAUCUCACAAAGGCAGGCACUGAAGAAAUGUGUACUUGAAUAUGUGUUUAGCAAAAAAACCUCAGUGAUAGCAGCCCAAGGAGACACUUAGCUUGUAAGUGGUUUAAGUUUUCUGCAUUUUGGCUUAGAAUAGUGCUGUUUGCUAGAAAUCAGAAAAGUGAAAAUGAGGAAAAAGGAAGAGAUGAGUUAGCAAAAAUAGUAAUCUGUAUCCCUGGAUAAUGUUUUUGUCUUUUAGUUUUACAGUGGUAAGAUAAAGUUAAAGUAGCCGAAGGCCUAUUUCUACUAAAUUUACAAUCCACAUUCUGAUUUAAAGGUUCCUUUAUUGUUGUAUCUACCUCUGUUUCUGAAUAACCUUCAAGAGUGCAGUGAAUUCAGAACUGACAUCAGCUUAGCUAGACGUUAACAUUAUAUGGAUAUUUCAUGUUCUGCUAGUCAGGGAGUACAAGGUUGUGAUGGCUUAAAAAGUUGAAUCUUAGACACUGCUGAAUGCUUACAUGCAUAUAAAAAUACCUGAGGAGGCAUCAGCCAGAAUACAGAAAAUACAUGGAAUAAUACAUAGCCAUUGAUUAAAGUUGUGAUGAAAUAGCGUGUUCUAAGAAGUGUCUCUUGUGCCUCUUCUCCUUAUCCCACAUCAUGCUGUUUACUACCCGCAAAAAGCAUUAGAUCUUGAGGUAGGAGUCUGAAGUCCAGUGGAGAUUCACAGUAAUGCUGAGGUUGGAAGGGACCUCUGGAGAUCAUCUAGCCCAAGCUCCCUGCUUAGAACAGGGUCAACUUGAGCAGGUAGUUCAGGACCAUGUCCAGGCAUGUUUGUGAAUUCUCUCCAAGGAUGGACACUCCAUAACCACUCUAAACAGCUUAUUCCAGUGCUUGGCCACUGUCACACUAAACUUCUCUUAUGCUUAAGUGGAGUUUCCUGUGUUUCAGUGUGUGUUUGUUGCCUCCUGUCCUGUCACUGGAUACCAUUAAGAAUCUGGUUCUGUCUGCUUUCCUUCCUCCCAUCAGGUAUUUAUACAUAUUAAUAAGAUCCUCACUGACCCUUCUUUUCUCCAGGGUAAACAAUUCUACCUCUUUCAGCUUCUCCUUGUAUGAUAGGUGCUUCAGACCAUUAAUCAUCUCUGUGGCCCUUUACUGAGCUUACUCUGCUAUGUUCAUGUCUCUUGUGCUGGGGAGCCCAGUGCUGGACACAGCAUUCCAGGCAGGAUCUCACCAGUGCUGAACAGAAUGGAAGGAUCACCUUCCUCAACCUGCUAGCAAUGCUCUCCCUCCCCGAGUCCUGGAAGCCAUUUGCCUUCUUCACCACAAGGGCACGUUGCUGACUUAUGUUCAACCAGAAUGCCUAGAUCCCUUUCUUCAGAGGGGCUUUCAAGCUAGUUGGCACCCAGCCUGUACUGGUGUGUGGGGUUCUUCCACUCUAGGUGCAGAAUUUAACAUUCCACUCUGUUGAAUUUCAUUAGUCCACUUCUUCAGACUGUCAGGGUCCCUCUGAUGGCAGCACAACCAUCUAGUGUGUUAACCACUCCUUCCAGUUUUGUACUGUCUGCACAAUUGCUGAGGGUGAUCUCUGUCCCAUUGUCCAGACAAUUAAUGAUGAUUAAUACGAUUGCUCCAGUAUCAGUGCCUGGCAUACACCAUUACUGACAGGCCUCCAGCUGGACCUUGUGCCAUUGAUCACAACACUUUGAGCCUGACAGUUCAGCAAGUUUUCAGUCUACCUCACAGUCCAUUUAUCCAGGCCAUGCUUCAUCAUAUUCUGAGGAACUUUAAAGAUUUAGUAAACAAAUGCUGAGUAUGAAUAUAAAAGUGCAUACUCAUUCUUGUAAAAUCUAGAAUAUGUUUAUUGGAUGGACUGUAACAAAAUGUUUCUGCUGAAUUAUAAUAGUUUGAUUUUCAGUUAACAGAGAAAUUCACAAUUCCUGCUUUACUAUUUCUGCAUGGAUGAGGGCAGUGUCAGGCUUAUUUUGUUAUGAAGAGAUAAUUGAUCAAUAUUCCCUGCAUAGCUGAUUCAGUUCUACUGUCAUAUAAAUUAUUUGCUUAUUUGUACUUCCUAUAGCUAGGCCAUUUCUAGUAAUCUAUGUAAACAAUAUUAAUAAAAUGAAUUAUGUGAGCAUUUUCCAUCAACUUUUAAAUCUUUUGGUUUUGAACAUUUUAGUUGCCCUUUUGCCAGGUCAGAUUAUGAGUGAGUUCAUAUGAGUGAACUCAUAUUACUGUAUCACACUGAGGGCAGAGAGUUUUCCAUGAGAUUUCUGUGCAGAAUAAACAGCAGAAACUGAAUUAGUGCAACAUCCAGAAUCUUUCUGAAAGUGCUUCCUUGGUACUUUAAUCUGUCUGGUGGCAAUUAAGAGCUGUUUCUGUGACACAUCUAACUGAGCAACACCUCGAUCUCAAAGAAACAGUUCCUCCAAAAUGUGUGGGGACUAUCCACAUGGUUUGAUGCUUUCCAAUUUAUUUUUCACUCUCUACCCUGGUCCUGUUGAUUGGAUUGUGUAGUUUGUUUACAGAAGCACAUCACUGCUGUUUGUUAAGAGAUUCUGAGGGUUAAGUAUACCGAACUGGUGCUUUCUGUCUUUUUCCCAGGACUUGGCAUGUGAAGUGUCUGGCCUUGAGGAAUCAAUACCUCAGACCCACUAAGUCCUUCUGUGUACUCAGCAAAGUAUUUGCCUUACUUUGGUAAGUGGUGCCCAACAAAACAAAUACCAGAACCAGGAAGUGCAUCUUUCUGCCUCUUAAUAUGCAUUUCUUUGUCUCCAGGUCCUCCUGGAUCCUUUUUACAUGCCAGUCUUAAUCCUGAGCAUCUGACACCUCUCCAAGAGUUCCUGAGAUGUCAAACUCCUUUCAGCUCUAGAAAACUUCGGCACAUUUAUCUUUGUUUUAAUUAACCCAUCUUUACUUUUCUGAAGGAUUUCCUCAAGUACACUUUCUGACAUUCAUUUCUCUUUUUGUUUAUGUAGCCCUAGGACAGUAGGGAGGAUCGUAAGAGUGAAGCUGUGACUCUUCUUCUUCAUCUGGAAUUUAUGUCUUUGUUGGAACAUACAUAAAUGAGGUUGUCUCAAUAUCAAUAACAGAGGUAGGAAGGUAAUUUCUCAGAGGAGAUCUCUUACAUAAUCUAUGACUUUCUUGUAGAUACUGUUUUUAUAGGGUGAAAAGGACAUAUGGGGCUGGCACCUCCAAAUUCAUUUGUGUGUCCAUUUUAAACACACCCAUUCAAACUCGUCCUUGGUGUCUUUAACCUUGACAGAGCUUCAUACAAAUACAUUUGAUCUGCUGUAACAUCAUGUCCUGGUGUUGGUUAAAACAAGGCAAAUUCUUUGUUAGUGAAUUUUCCUUUAAGCUAGGUUCUUCUAAGUAACUGCAUUUUUCUGAUGCUGGCUGCAUGUUUUUCAGACAGUGUUCAUUCUACAGCUGGUAACAGCCCAUAUUCACAGUUUUACUGAGCUAAUGGUAGAAAUGGUAUGCAGAAAAGGCCCACGUUUAUCUUUUAUUGCUAUAUCAGCCAAAGUCACUGAUAAAUUUUGUACAUCCCAUAAGUGAGAGAGUGGUAGUUGUAGGGAGGGGCGAACAGAGCAGGUGACCCAAACUGACAAACUAGGUAUUCCAUGCCAUCCACAUCAUACACAGCAUAAAGUUGGGAGAUCACAAGGAUCUUGCUCUCUUUGUCCAUGGCUGGCAUCUGAAGAGGACCCCGCCUCUUCUGCCUGUGAUCCUGAUCCUGGUUCUAGUCUGUGCAUCCCUGAAUCCAGUUCCUGUCUACUGUGGGAUCCAGUCCAGAACUUCCAGUGUAUGUCCUCCGGCCUUGGGCGCAACGCCUGCCACCUGCAGGCUGCUACGGUGCUAUCCGGGGAAAUUAAAUAUUGGUUUUGUAUAUUUGCAUUAUUUUCUAUUAUUAGUAGUAUUAUUAGUAAAGUUUUUUUUUAACCUAUCAACUUGUAAGUCUCUCUCUCUUUUCCUCCUAUUCCCUUUCCUUAGUGGGGAGGGUGGGGGUUAAUAGGGAGCAUCUGCCACAGUUAAUUGUUGCCCUUCAGUAAACGGUUACACAUUAAUAAUCAUUGUGAUGGCACUUAUAAUCAGCCUACAAGAGGCCAACAGAAGAUACUUUCAGCAUGAAAAUGACAAACAAGAGCACCUGAGCUCAGGUUAGAUGUUAACUCCAGGCUUUUACAUCUCCAGCAGUAGGACAGCAGUGGGAGUUAGAAGCAUAUAUAGAGUCUCUCAGUCCACUGCCAAUGCAAGGACUUCUCUUAUAAUUUAUGAUUUAAAGCUUUAUGGACAGGUGAGUAUUGUCUGUCGGUGAUAUUGCCUAUUCAUUGGCAAUUCAUGUCAUUUUGCCUUGUCACGAAGAUUGCAAGUUACUUGCUAUUUUGAAAUGUUAUUUCUGGUUCUUAGACUUGGAAGCAGGAAUAUGUUCAUGUUUAGGUGUUGGAUGAUAUGAUUGAAACAUUUUUGUUCCCAAAUGGAAAAGGAAGGUCAAAACCCUUUCAAAACUCUUAUUCCAGGAAGCCAAUGCAACACAACUGGCUCUGAAACAAGCUUCAUGUUAAGAUACAGUACUUUUGGAAAAGGACUGUGCUGGAGUAUUGCAACGCUGGCCCAUCUCUGUUUUCAAGACCAAUGUGGCUUCAGGCAUUAGUUUCUUAAAAACAGUGAGAGAACAUAAUGGGCCUGAUCUGUGAAAGCCUGCCAGUGAGCAGCUGUAGCAGGAGCUCCUGCAGCCAGGCUGAGGUGGUACGCAAGCAGGAGGAAGGCAGAAGCAGUGCUGCUGUUCCAGCUGCCAGAAGGUGCUGCUCUACAGGUAGCCUCUCUUGCUGUCCUCUUCCUGUCACUCAGGCUGGGGUAGAGGAGCCAGAAAUUAGUGGCUAGUGCUUGCAGUAUUCAAGGUUUAGGCCAGGUUCCACAUGUCUUCUAAGUCAGCUGAAGAACUGUUCUCAGGGAUGAUCACGUGUUGCCCACCAAGCAGAACUCAGAUAGCUUUGCAACCCCACAUGCUUUACCUUUGUCAACCCACCACGCGCACGAGGUAUGGAUGCAAUUAUAUCUCUUCAGCUGACCUCAAGCUGUAACCCUUGUACCAAACAGCUAUUUACUGCUGACUUGAACAGCUCUCAUCACCCUCUAGUAAGCAUUGAGCUGAGCACCUCUAGUACCCACUGGUCUGAGCACGUCUAACCACCUUUCUUCUACUAUGUGUCUCAACUUUCUCUAUAGAUAAGCAGGGACUGCCUGUAUACACAACCCUUGGUACUAAUGGAGAAGAAAAUGCAAAAGCUAUGGGAAGUACUUGAACGGAUGCUGAUCUAUUGCUGUGGCUGCCUCACCCCUUAUACUGGAAACCUGAGGCAGAGUAUAUUGGCCAUGCACUGUAGUUUAUUGGUUAUUUGUAAGUUGAAGAUUUUUUUUUUUAUAACAUUCCCAACAUGUCAGAUGGAGCUGGUCAUAACUUGAUAAAUAUGAAGAAUGGCUGUUGACAAGCCAGUCCCAAACAACAGUUCUGGUAUGAUGCUAAUGCACAGGUUUUGGGGUACCCAGCCAUUUCCGUUCCUCUUUGUUAACAUCCAUUGUCAACUGUUCUACUGCAGUUCAGGAAGCAGGAAGUUAAUUCUCUUCUUACUGGACCAUACUGAGAGGGAGCACUGGGAGUAGGCUUGUUGAGUCUCUCUAGUUGGGUGUAGGCAAGGAGCUGAUGGGAGCUUUGCAGGCUGGUUCAGGUAGAAAAACAUGGGUGAAAAUUUCACUUGGCUUCUGCUGCUGAAUCGGUUAAUCCACUUCCCCAGAUUAGAGCUGAACAGGACAGAAAACAUUUUGAAUUUAAGAGUAAGGUAAUCUUCCUGGCCACAAGCUCAGCUCAGUUGUGAUGUCAGGACAUACUGUGCAAAGCUAGGGAGGGCAAUGAUUAACU